rnacentral:tRNA from 1 species
GAGGGUGUAGCUCAGCAGUAGAGCAUGUGCUUAGCAUGCACGAGGUCCUGGGUUCAAUCCCCCGUAUCUCCA